rnacentral:RNase_P_RNA from 1 species
GCAUCGAAGGCAAUCGCUGGUCGUAAGAUUAGAGGAAAGUCCAUGCUCGCACCUUCUGCGAUGAAGGUAGUGUUUAUGCUAAAUGAAAAAAUAAAUUUAGGCAGGCAACUGACGGCAGAGUCAAUCCUAAGGCGCAAGCUAUGGAAGCGCUCUUGAAAGUGCCACAGUGACGGAGUCUUUCGGGAAACGGAAAGAGUGGAACGCGGUAAACCCCAUAAGCGAGAAACCCAAAUUUGGUAGGGGAACUUCAAAGACCGAAUUGAAGGUCGAUGAGGACAGCAAUGUAGAUAGAUGGUUGCCCCUGGAAACAGGACAGAACAUGGCUUACACGA